GACGAACGCUGGCGGCGUGCUUAACACAUGCAAGUCGAGGGCACCCCGCAAGGGGUGACCGGCGAACGGGUGCGUAACACGUGAGCGACCUUCCGUCUUCUGGGGGAUAGCCGGCCCAACGGCCGGGUAAUACCGCAUACGCUCUGUGGGCUUCAUGGCCUGUAGAGGAAACUUCCGGGGGAGGACGAGGGGCUCGCGGCCUAUCAGCUAGUUGGGGGGUAACGGGCCGUCCCAA
rnacentral:rRNA from 1 species